rnacentral:lncRNA from 1 species
UUUCAAGAGGUGAAUAUUUUGCUAUUCUAUUUCUGUUGAUUUAGAUUUAACAAGAAAGUAUAUUAUUUUGGACCUAAUUUUUUAUUUUUGGUGAUUAAGGUUACUAUGUUUUUGAGUUUGGUAAAAUAGUUUCAGCUUUUAAAUAUCUCUUUUUUAUGUUUGUAGAAUGAAAAAUGAUUUAUUUUCAAGCAUUUGAUGAGAUUGUGUUUUUUUGCAGAUAAAGGGUGGAGUUUGAUCUAGCUUGAAGGUUUUGAUCAUCUCUUAUAAGAGGUAGUUCUCUUCUUGCAUCUCUUACAUUAUGAUGAUAUAUCANNNNNNNNNNNNNNNNAUGCAUGCCUUGGGAUAUGCUGUAUCUUAAUGGCUAGUGUUUUGAUCAUGAUGUAUGUGUAUACAUCUACAUAUCCAUGGCCAAUCAACAAAUUAAAAUUGAUGAAUGUAUGCGCUAAUCCUUUCUCUCUUGACAUCAAUUCUGUUAUCUGCAUCCUCUCCUCAUUUAAUACUUCAAUAAUAUAAGAAUG